CGGCGGACGGGUGAGUAAUGUAUGGGGAUCUGCCUGAUGGCGGGGGAUAACUACUGGAAACGGUAGCUAGUACCGCAUAAUGUCUACGGACCAAAGCGGGGGACCUCCGGGCCUCGCGCCAUCAGAUGAACCCAUAUGGGAUUAGCUAGUAGGUAAGGUAACGGCUUACCUAGGCGACGAUCCCUAGCUGGUCUGAGAGGAUGACCAGCCACACUGGAACUGAGACACGGUCCAG
rnacentral:rRNA from 1 species